rnacentral:rRNA from 1 species
UACAGAGGGUGCGAGCGUUAAUCGGAAUUACUGGGCGUAAAGCGCGCGUAGGCGGCUUUUCAAGUCGAUUGUGAAAUCCCCGGGCUUAGCCUGGGAACUGCAGUCGAGACUGUCUAGCUAGAGUAUGGGAGAGGGAAGUGGAAUUUCAGGUGUAGCGGUGAAAUGCGUAGAUAUCUGAAGGAACAUCAGUGGCGAAAGCGACUUCCUGGACCAAUACUGACGCUCAUGUGCGAAAGCGUGGGGAGCAAACAGG